GCAUGGUUGUCGUCAGCUCGUGUCGUGAGAUGUUGGGUUAAGUCCCGCAACGAGCGCAACCCUUAUUACUAGUUGCCAGCAUUUAGUUGGGCACUCUAGUGAGACUGCCGGUGACAAACCGGAGGAAGGUGGGGACGACGUCAAAUCAUCAUGCCCCUUAUGACCUGGGCUACACACGUGCUACAAUGGAUGGUACAACGAGUUGCGAGACCGCGAGGUUUAGCUAAUCUCUUAAAACCAUUCUCAGUUCGGAUUGUAGGCUGCAACUCGCCUACAUGAAGCCGGAAUCGCUAGUAAUCGCGGAUCAGCAUGCCGCGGUGAAUACGUUCCCGG
rnacentral:rRNA from 1 species